AGGCAAGGUGAGUUGUGCUGAGCUGCUGGCAUUCACAGCAUGGCAUCAAAACAAACCUAUUUAUCUGGUUCAGAAAAAAGACAAAAGUGGGAACCAGAUGAAGAAAAAACGCUUACAGGAUGAAGGAGCAAUUCUGAAUUAUUUUGGCGCCACAGACCAGGAAGCAGCAUGGCAGCCUUUAGCACCAAUGGACCAGGAUGUUUAAGCCUUCCCAAACCUUCCCAAGGACCACAGAGUCUGAAUUCUGUGCUGAGCUCCUGGUUCUAGUCUGUCUCCAGCCAGUACAACUGACAAUCUUUAAAUGUUUGUUCUUGAGAAGUUUGUCUUGCUAAGAUUGCAAUUUACAGACAUACAGUGUGAUACAAGACUACUGAAAAACCUCUCUUAGCUCAUUA